rnacentral:lncRNA from 1 species
CAGGUACAAUCUGCUCUCUCAGUGUGCAUCUUGAUAUGAAGACAUCAUGAAGGAAAGCAGAGCUGACUGACUGGCAAAAACAUAACGGUGGAUAGAACCCAAAGAGAAAACAAAGCCCAAACAGUCUCAGCUCCUUUACUCUAUGCGACCAAUGGCAUUUCAACCUCCCUCUACAGUUUGAUACCUUCUUCUAUAGUUACAGAAUUCUUA